ACUUAUCGUCCUCAACCUCCAGCACGAGACCAACGCGAAUACGCAUCCGAACGACCUCUGGGAAGAUCUCCAAAAUCCGUCCAAAUUCGUGCUCCUUUUGCACGAAAAAUCCCUCUAUAAAUACCCAUAUAUCUUUUCUACUUUUGCUUCCUUAAAACCCUAGAUUUUGCGCCGUUAGGUUGUCCAAAUUUCUCGCCGGAGCUCCGCCACGGCCGCCGUUUUCCUCGAUUCCGCGUGACGUCGACACCGGGGAUUCGCCGAAGCCUCGCUGGAGUAUGCUGCCCUUUGUUGUUGUCGUCGGAUCGUCGCCGUCGUUCGGGACUGCGAGAGCCGUCGCCAAGACCACCAACGGUACUGCCGUUGUCUGCCACGUCGCUCGGACCACCUCGCCGCCGUCGUAAACCGUCUGGAGAUGCACCAUCGCGUUCGAGCCGUCCCGCCGUCACCUGGCGGCGUCCCUGCCACUUUGUACGGAGAGAUACGCGUUUUGAUUGAGAGAAGAGCAGAAUUCUUCAGAUACCAAAAAG